UUAUGAUCAUUUUAUAUAAUGUAAAAAUCAUCUAUUUAUUAAAUUACUAUAUUUAUGAUAAAAGCUUAAUUACAUAUUUUGAAUAUUGUAUUUUUAGUGUAAAUUAUUACUUGAAAACCUUACUUAUAUGUAUAGUAAUAUUCACGUUAUUUUCUAUGAAUAUUCAGUAGGGAUUUACUUGAAUCAUUGUAUUUGAUUGGCUGUUAGUAUUUCGCGGUCAAGUUUAAUUUCCUUUGUUUUGUACCUGUAUAUUUCCACGGACGAUAGCCAUGACAGUCCAUUGAAUUUAUGUCUGAUUAUAUUGACCACAUAGUUACCUGUAAACCUUAUAUUUUGGACAACAUAUUAUUGAAUACUGUAAGUUUACUUCUUUAUUAACAUUAUUUAUAUUUUUCACGUAAAUGAUAUUAUAGCAAAGUUUCUAUUUGUCUUGUAACGUUCUCCUCAUAUCGCAUGCAUGUAACAUAAGUACACAAGAUGUACAUGAGAGUAUUUUAUUAAGCUAUAAGUAUAUGAUUUUAUAAUCUACGGUUUAUUUGCCACGGUAGAAUUAUAUUGUUAAUUUGCGUACACUACUAUUUGGUUAUUGUCACGAAUAGUCUAUAUUUUAUAAAUGGCGGCUUGUUAAACAAAAGACGUAAAAAAGUGUUUCCAUUUAUAUAAAGUAAUAGUUUUGUAUCGAAUAGUUUUUAUAAAGUACAAAUAUGAAUGAGUAAAGAAUAUUUGUCACAUUGUAUAUUUCUAUAAUUAGAGUCCGAGUAUUUAUGUUCGUAUUUUGGUUUCAGGACUCCAUGUAAUGUGUAAUUAUAUAGAACACAUGAUUGUGUGAUGUUUAUUUGAUGUGCCGUUAACCUUACUAGUUCAACUCACUCCAUAAGUGACUUGUUUUAUCUACUGGUACAAUAAAGCAUCAGAACCCUUA